AAACUUAAAGGAAUUGACGGGGACCCGCACAAGCGGUGGAUGAUGUGGAUUAAUUCGAUGCAACGCGAAAAACCUUACCUACCCUUGACAUGUCCGGAAUCCCGAAGAGAUUUGGGAGUGCUCGAAAGAGAGCCGGAACACAGGUGCUGCAUGGCUGUCGUCAGCUCGUGUCGUGAGAUGUUGGGUUAAGUCCCGCAACGAGCGCAACCCUUAUCAUUAGUUGCCAUCAUUCAGUUGGGCACUCUAAUGAGACUGCCGGUGACAAACCGGAGGAAGGUGGGGAUGACGUCAAGUCCUCAUGGCCCUUAUGGGUAGGGCUUCACACGUCAUACAAUGGUCGGUACAGAGGGUUGCCAACCAGCGAGGGGAGCCAAUCUCACAAAGCCGAUCGUAGUCCGGAUCGCAGUCUGCAACUCGACUGCGUGAAGUCGGAAUCGCUAGUAAUCGUGGAUCAGCAUGUCACGGUGAAUACGUUCCCGGGUCUUGUACUACACCGCCCGU
rnacentral:rRNA from 1 species